GCUAACCAUGCAAGUCGAACGCUCACCUUCGGGUGGGAGUGGCAGACGGGUGAGUAACACGUGGGAACGUACCCUUUGGUUCGGGACAACUCUGGGAAACUGGAGCUAAUACCGGAUACGCCCUUUUGGGGAAAGGUUUACUGCCGAAGGAUCGGCCCGCGUCUGAUUAGCUAGUUGGUGGGGUAACGGCCUACCAAGGCGACGAUCAGUAGCUGGUCUGAGAGGAUGAUCAGCCACACUGGGACUGAGACACGGCCCAGACUCCUACGGGAGGCAGCAGUGGGGAAUAUUGGACAAUGGGCGCAAGCCUGAUCCAGCCAUGCCGCGUGAGUGAUGAAGGCCUUAGGGUUGUAAAGCUCUUUUAUCCGGGACGAUAAUGACGGUACCGGAGGAAUAAGCCCCGGCUAACUUCGUGCCAGCAGCCGCGGUAAUACGAAGGGGGCUAGCGUUGCUCGGAAUCACUGGGCGUAAAGGGCGCGUAGGCGGCGUUUUAAGUCGGGGGUGAAAGCCUGUGGCUCAACCACAGAAUGGCCUUCGAUACUGGGACGCUUGAGUCUGGUAGAGGUUGGUGGAACUGCGAGUGUAGAGGUGAAAUUCGUAGAUAUUCGCAAGAACACCGGU
rnacentral:rRNA from 1 species